GAAGCUCAGUGGUAGAGCAACUGCUUGGCAUGUAGAAAGUCUCAGGUUCAAUCCCAGGCAUCUCCA